GCUAGUAAAGGAGAACAAACUGGCCAUUGACGUCAUUUGACACACGUCUUCAAAAGAUUUGUUGGGUUUUGCCUGUUUUUUUUUUGUUAGUUCUUGUUUUCAAAUAAAUGUCAGUGUAUACCAAAAGCAGUUAUUGCCACUGAUGAGCUGUAUUCUUUCUUGGACGCUGACAAAUAAACAUAUAGACGUCAGUGACGAAGUCUUCACAUCAAAAAUAACAAUCAACUCUUCCAAUUUAGUUCCGACGCGGAGCGAGGCGGCCUCCCGGCCUCCGUCCGUUAAAGCUGGAGGCGGCGGCUGGGCCUCGGCCGCCCGCGCUCAACAAAACUUUAUGCGGCGCCCGCGGAGGGGACAGCGGCGCGGCGGCGCCGGCGGGGCCAGCGCCGGGACCCGGAUGUGCGCGAAGGGCGGGGGGAGCCGGGGCGGGGGAACGGCGCGGGCGGGAUGAGGAGCGCGGCGCACGCGCGCUGCCGCCCCGCGCGGAGGAAGGGAGGAAGCGGACGCGGCGGGAAGGGCCGGGGCGGGAGCGCUGAGGAGAGAGAGGCGGAAGGGCUCGUUGGGAGUCGUUCCCCGUAGCCACUAAGUAAAGCAAAAUAAUAAUAAAAAAAUUACAACGAAAUAUUCACGUUUGGUUGUCUGUCCCAAACGUAAUUUACCUCAAGAUGGAGGAAUAAAAAGUUUUCCUCGAGCUCCAUGCUGUCCCACACGAACCCCUUGGAGAGGAAUGCAGUGCUGAGGCCUACCGAGGCUAUGUGCACCCGGCCUGCACGGCUCCCAGCAGCCCGGCACACUGCGAGAUGGGAGCCAGCCCCAUCUGCUCCUCAGGGCCAAGCACCGGCCUUGGCCUGAGUGCUGUGGAAUGUUCUGUGUCCCUGAGCUUUACAUGCAGUGCUGAGGUCCCUACCAGUAGCUGGAUCUCACUGUAGCCAGAAAAAGCAUAAAGAUCCAGGAGAACCUGUUAGUAGCGUUAGGAAUGGCUCCACAAAGGUCUGUAUGCACAAGGAUUUUUAUACCGCAUGGGACAAACCCCAGCUUACCUCACAGCCCCUGCUGUGUGAUGUGGAAGUGACUGCUGCUUCCUCCCAGCUCCUUGCUGAGCGGCAGAGCAGCUCACCACACAGAGGUGCUUGGCCAACACCUCCUGCGAGCCACAAUGCCUGACCUUGAUCAAGCACACUGCCAGCUAACUGUUCAUCUCGUGCCAUUUUUAACUAUGUGAAUCGAUGGAUACAAGGGUCUCAGGUUCCACACUGUGACUUGAGCCUUUUUGACAUUUCCCUCAACAGACCACAGAAGUUAGGAAACCAAAAUCCUUGAUUUCAGCUAGAUCUGAAGAAUGCGCGUAUUUGAAAUCAGUAAUAAAAAAUGAGUUUUCCAUGCAGGAGCCUCUUAUAAGGACAGACUGGUAGGAAAGACUGAAGUGUUCUGCACUGCAGGUAGAACUGCUCACCUCAGUGUGCUGCCAAGGCCCAAACUGAUGGC
rnacentral:lncRNA from 1 species